rnacentral:lncRNA from 1 species
AAACUAAAACCCAGUUAGUUAUUAAGUUACCUCAGAACUGCAGCGCACAAACCUGAGCAAGUUCUGAGGCAACUUUGGUGAGACUUUUUUCUCUAAAGCUAUUAACAGGCGAGAGAGACCCAGGAAAAUAGUGGGGGCCAGAAGGGAAGGAGAGAAAAGAAUUCACGGUGAGCCUUCCUAUUUGAAAAAGAAGCAUUGUAGGCAAGCUCACACCUGAAUGAGUCAAGAAAACGUUAUGAAAUAUCGUCCUGAUUCAGGCAAAAUGGCAGUCAGAGGCCCAGAUGGGUUUGUGGUGCUUUGAGGACAAGGCUUCGGUAGGAGGUUAUACUAGGCCUGAGAGCUUGAGUUCUAUGUAGAUCGACUUGGGCUCAGAUGAUCUAGGCUAGGAAUGCCUGAGCUUUAUUUGCUGUUCAUUCUCCUGGAACAAGUGGGCUACUCAAGAUAUGUAAGUGCUGUGCUCUUUUAUUGCUUUCCCCAGAGGAGAACUCAUAAUGAAGACAAGAGCCAGCUAAAGCUUUUACCCUCUGAUCUCUGACAAUCUCAUUUUCAGGUAAACUAUAUCUGACAGCAGAGGGGAGGCUUUCU